CUAUAAUGCAGUCGAGCGAACAGAUAAGGAGCUUGCUCCUUUGACGUUAGCGGCGGACGGGUGAGUAACACGUGGGUAACCUACCUAUAAGACUGGGAUAACUUCGGGAAACCGGAGCUAAUACCGGAUAAUAUUUCGAACCGCAUGGUUCGAUAGUGAAAGAUGGUUUUGCUAUCACUUAUAGAUGGACCCGCGCCGUAUUAGCUAGUUGGUAAGGUAACGGCUUACCAAGGCGACGAUACGUAGCCGACCUGAGAGGGUGAUCGGCCACACUGGAACUGAGACACGGUCCAGACUCCUACGGGAGGCAGCAGUAGGGAAUCUUCCGCAAUGGGCGAAAGCCUGACGGAGCAACGCCGCGUGAGUGAUGAAGGUCUUCGGAUCGUAAAACUCUGUUAUUAGGGAAGAACAUACGUGUAAGUAACUGUGCACGUCUUGACGGUACCUAAUCAGAAAGCCACGGCUAACUACGUGCCAGCAGCCGCGGUAAUACGUAGGUGGCAAGCGUUAUCCGGAAUUAUUGGGCGUAAAGCGCGCGUAGGCGGUUUUUUAAGUCUGAUGUGAAAGCCCACGGCUCAACCGUGGAGGGUCAUUGGAAACUGGAAAACUUGAGUGCAGAAGAGGAAAGUGGAAUUCCAUGUGUAGCGGUGAAAUGCGCAGAGAUAUGGAGGAACACCAGUGGCGAAGGCGACUUUCUGGUCUGUAACUGACGCUGAUGUGCGAAAGCGUGCGGAUCAAACAGGAUUAGAUACCCUGGUAGUCCACGCCGUAAACGAUGAGUGCUAAGUGUUAGGGGGUUUCCGCCCCUUAGUGCUGCAGCUAACGCAUUAAGCACUCCGCCU
rnacentral:rRNA from 1 species